rnacentral:lncRNA from 1 species
AAAGGGGGGGGGAGGCAUUGCUGUGGGAGGAAUAUCUUUAGCCUUCAAACAACAGCCACUAAAACAUCCCUGCUCUGCCUCCCCAGAGAUGACAAGGGUUGAAAGUUUUGUGCAGGAUGGCUUUUGAGAGAUAAUAUAAUCCCAUUUAAAAUUAUUUUUAACUGUCCCUUUUAUAGUGAGAAGGAAAAGGCCAAAGAUAGGACCUGAUUCAGGGAUGCCAGUAAGCUUUGGAUUAAUGGGGUUUGGAUUGGACCCACAGUGUAAGAGGCAAUGUUCCAAUCUAGCCAUAAAUUAAGUGAUUUCCAUUAACAUUUAUAUUUCCUUUAAUUUAUUAAACCAAGAAAGUCAGCAGAGGCCCAUAGGUCUCAGUAUUAAGAAUGAACUGGCCAAGACAGCAGCAGAUAAAACUUGCACCAGUGUAAAUCAAAGCUUCCAUAAGUCAUACCAUACUCAAGAAACCGUGGGUAAGUAAGGCAAUAAAAUGUGACCAUUUUUGCUUUAUUGUCUCAUUCUCAGCUCUUACUUUCUGCUGGAGCCAAACAUAAUUUCUCCUUUGCCUUUUUAAGAGGUCCUGGAGACAAUGGACCAAACUUAUUUCAAACCCAGGGUAUAGUGUGGCAGUUCAGGAGCUGGGAUUUGCAAAAAACUCACAAAUGUUUUGCUUCCCUUUAUGGCCAGAUAAUAACAAAGAUGAAAUCUAGAAGCUUUUCUACAACUACUACUAAAAGCUACUACUUCUUUUCUUACUUAAUGUUGGAAAAGGCUGCACCUCCACCUUAUUAGACCCACAUUAUGAAAAAUUAUUGCAGUCCAGUGUUGUUUUGCCCUGUAUGAUUUGAGUUUUCCCACAUAUUUCCCCAGCUGACCAUCCUGGAAAUGGAUGUGCUUAAUUUUUCCCAUCUCAGGGUGCAAAAAAGUCAUGGUAAGCCCUGCAGAGAUUCAGCAUCUCACCUUCCCCAGCACAGGGCUGCAGAGACACAGUGGAUGUAGUUUUCACCAGGGUCACCCAUGGCACUCAUGCAGCUCUGCCUGUAAAAGCUGAUGGUGUAGACAUGUUCAGGCUCCAAAGAACACAA